GAUGAACGCUGGCGGCGUGCCUAAUACAUGCCAGUCGAGCGAACAGACGAGGAGCUUGCUCCUCUGACGUUAGCGGCGGACGGGUGAGUAACACGUGGAUAACCUACCUAUAAGACUGGGAUAACUUCGGGAAACCGGAGCUAAUACCGGAUAACAUGUUGAACCGCAUGGUUCAACAGUGAAAGACGGUCUUGCUGUCACUUAUAGAUGGAUCCGCGCCGCAUUAGCUAGUUGGUAAGGUAACGGCUUACCAAGGCAACGAUGCGUAGCCGACCUGAGAGGGUGAUCAGCCACACUGGAACUGAGACACGGUCCAGACUCCGACGGGAGGCAGCAGUAGGGAAUCUUCCGCAAUGGGUGAAAGCCUGACGGAGCAACGCCGCGUGAUUGAAGAAGGUCUUCGGAUCGUAAAACUCUGUUAUUAGGGAAGAACAAAUGUGUAAGUAACUAUGCACGUCUUGACGGUACCUAAUCAGAAAGCCACGGCUAACUACGUG
rnacentral:rRNA from 1 species